GCCAACAUGGCACAGUGGUUUGGGUGUUGGGACUACGACUCUGAAGACCAGGGUUCGAUUCCCAGCUCAGCCA